UGUUUUUUCAUUCCCAAUCUCAAACCCAAAAAUCCCUAAUCUCUUCUUCCCCCCCUCUCUCUGGAUCGACGGCGAGCGGCGGCGGAUGACUGCGAGCAACAAACGAGGCUGCUGUGUGAAUGGAAAGGGCUCCGGAGUGCAAGAGCAGCAGCAGCGUCGUCGUCGUCGGAGCAGCGUCGGCCUCCUCUUCCGCCACCUCAACAUCUCUUAUGUCGGGCAAAAGCGAUGGUUUACUCUUGGUCUCCCUGAGAUAGAUUUGUGUAAUCAUGUAGGGUUGGUUGCACUUCCACACUGGGGAUAGAUGGUUUGUAAAUUUUUGGAAGGGAAAGGCCAAUGGUGAAGGGCGUUUCUACUCAAAUCGUGGUGAAAUCUUUUUCGGCCAUUUUAAAGAUGGAUGGCGACAUGGCCAUUUUCUUUGUAUCAAUGUUGACGGAGCAAGGUGUCUUGAGAUUUGGGAUGAAGGUGUUCUUGUAAGCCGUAAGCAGCUAGACUCAGAUGAUGCUGGAGCUGAAUAAACCAUUUGUAGCUUGUAAUGUUUUGCAAGUUCGUACGUCUUAUGCCUGAAAAUUUCUUUGAAAAGUAUCAGACAAAUGUAUGUAUAUAUAUAUAUAUUGUUGGAAUCCACCUACAUUGGAAAACCGUUGCCUUUUUUUCAUAAUGCAUUGUUGUACUUGUGUAACUGAGACAUGCAAGAACAUCGAACAUUUACUGGCUGUCUAUUCAUUAGAGUGGCCAAAGUUGUCAAAGAUUAUCAUUCAGGAAAAGUUGUUUGCACAAAUAAUAAAAUGUGUAAUGCUAUAUACAACAAACUAACAAUCUCAUAAACUAGUUCUUAUUUAAUUGAGUUAUCCCUAUAAUACUAUUCUAGUGGAUCUCAUAUUAAAUGGUUAGUAAGAAAUGUUAGUUUGCAUAAACCUUUUGAUUGGUCACAGAGUCAUGAGAUUUGCAAAGAUGAGAUUUGACUACAUUUUCCUCUGGUUAGUUUCAUCUUGGCAGGGAAAAUUUAUAACAAUUAUUGUUAGGGCUCAUAUAUUCAAUGUUUGUCUUUUAUUAAUUUAGUUUAUUAAGCUUGAGUUUGUGAAGUGGAAAAAUAGAACAUACGAGAUUUGUGAAAAGUUAAAAAAAAAGAAAAAGGAAAAGGAAAUAGAUCCAAAUACAACGUAAAUAUAUCCUUCAACUUGUAGUUUGCCUACUUCUCAUGAACUCUUAGCUCUAGCACACCGUUUAUUGAGCCUUUCUUUGUCAAUUGGAGAUAUGCAACCCAAAUCUAAAAUUCAAUUGCCACCAUAACCAACACACUAAUUUGCGUGCAUCUCGAAUAGCCAUGGGACACUCCUUUUCCAGCAGGUUUCUGUUCCCAGGUCUAUGAACUCUCAGCUGUGUUCCUUCAUAAGGACUGGAUUAUGGAACAGUGGGAAAAGAAUUACUACAUCAGCUCGAUCGCUGGUGCUGUUAAUGGGAGUUCCUUGGUUGUUAUGUCUAAAGGUUAGUAAAAGAACUGUUUUUAUAGAAUUCAUAUAAAUAGUUUUCUUUUUUCAUAUAUUUGUUGUUUGCAUAAACUUUUAUGCUAAUUUUAUAAUUUGCAUUUUCUCACCACAAGAUAAAGGAAAAAAUAGCUGAAAGCAUGUGUGCCUUUAAGAAGCAGAUAUAUUACCAACAAGAUAAGUUAGUAAAGAUGCAUAUUAUUGGGGUGACAUUUAAGUUUUAGUUUAGGAGUUUGGCUAGUAAAUUUUCAAAAUUUGAAAAUUGCUAUAUUUUACUAUUUUGAUAACUGAUUGCGGUAGAGGAGAGAGGAUUAUUGUUAAAUCAUAAUAUCCUUUUUUUUUUCUUUUUUUUUUUUUUUUUGUGUGUGUGUGUGUGUGUGGUAGUU